rnacentral:rRNA from 1 species
UACGAAGGGGGCUAGCGUUGUUCGGAAUUAUUGGGCGUAAAGAGCUCGUAGGCGGUUUGUCGCGUCUGCUGUGAAAACGCGAGGCUCAACCUCGCGCCUGCAGUGGGUACGGGCAGACUAGAGUGCGGUAGGGGAGAUUGGAAUUCCUGGUGUAGCGGUGGAAUGCGCAGAUAUCAGGAGGAACACCGAUGGCGAAGGCAGAUCUCUGGGCCGUUACUGACGCUGAGGAGCGAAAGCGUGGGGAGCGAACAGG